UGGGCAUACUGUCUCUAUCUUCCCCUUACUGUGUGGGCAUGCAGUCUCUACCUUCCCCUUACUGUGUGGGCAUACUGUCUCUACCUUCCCCUUACUGUGUUACUGUGUGGGCAUACUGUCUCUACCUUCCCCUUACUGUGUUACUGUGUGGGCAUGCAGUCUCUACCUUCCCCUUACUGUGUGGGCAUACUGUCUCUACCUUCCCCUUACUGUGUUACUGUGUGGGCAUACAGUCUCUACCUUCCCCUUACUGUGUGGGCAUACUGUCUCUGCCUUCCCCUUACUGUGUGGGCAUACUGUCUCUACCUUCCCCUUACUGUGUUACUGUGUGGGCAUACAGUCUCUACCUUCCCCUUACUGUGUGGGCAUACAGUCUCUACCUUCCCCUUACUGUGUGGGCAUACUGUCUCUGCCUUCCCCUUACUGUGUGGGCAUACUGUCUCUACCUUCCCCUUACUGUGUGGGCAUACAGUCUCUACCUUCCCCUUACUGUGUGGGCAUACUGUCUCUACCUUCCCCUUACUGUGUGGGCAUGCAGUCUCUACCUUCCCCUUACUGUGUGGGCAUACAGUCUCUACCUUCCCCUUACUGUGUGGGCAUACUGUCUCUGCCUUCCCCUUACUGUGUGGGCAUACUGUCUCUGCCUUCCCCUUACUGUGUUACUGUGUGGGCAUACAGUCUCUACCUUCCCCUUAUUGUGUGGGCAUACAGUCUCUACCUUCCCCUUACUGUGUGGGCAUACUGUCUCUGCCUUCCCCUUACUGUGUGGGCAUACUGUCUCUACCUUCCCCUUACUGUGUUACUGUGUGGGCAUACAGUCUCUACCUUCCCCUUACUGUGUGGGCAUACAGUCUCUACCUUCCCCUUACUGUGUGGGCAUACUGUCUCUACCUUCCCCUUACUGUGUGGGCAUGCAGUCUCUACCUUCCCCUUACUGUGUGGGCAUACUGUCUCUACCUUCCCCUUACUGUGUUACUGUGUGGGCAUACAGUCUCUACCUUCCCCUUAUUGUGUGGGCCAGUCUACUGUACAUAGUACCGUGGCUAUUCUCUGUGUGCGCCUGCCUUUGCCGACCAGACCGAUACUCAACAGACCAACCUCACUGUGCUGUGUGAUGGGCUGGGGUUUGCUCUGUUAGACUUGACCUAUUUAUUUAUUGGACUUCCUCUUCAGUGAGGUAGAGAGGUAGAGAGAGAGUGAGGUAGAGAGAGAGAGAUAGCUAGAGCAGACCAUGUGUUACAUGUGAGUACAGUGAGCAAGCUACUAGAACAAAUCCUAACACAGCCAUUAAAUAAAAGGGGUCUCUAGCAGAUGUGUAUUCCAGGCAUGACAGAGACAGAGACAGAGACAGGGUGGUCUACAGGGAGUCUACAGAGUGGGCCUCCUUCCCUCCCCUCCCUCUCUGAAGAGGCAUCCUGGAGCCGACCGACUGAAUGGACAUACAAGAUGUGGCAACGAGCGGCCAUGGCAGACAUUUUGUCUGAGGCUGAUGCAAAGACCCUAUCCUAAUGGUGGAACAAAGACACAAACUCUGAAACACAAACAUGUAUUACUGUUUAACACACCAAAAAGGGACCAUGAUGUACCCGGAGAAUCUAAAGUGAUUAAGCUCAUUUAAUAUGGAAAGCACUGUGAGAUAUAGAGGUGGAUCGUCUGUAGUGUUGUUCAGCUGUCUAACUAACAGACUAACCUGGGGGGCCUCCCUUAUGACCAGACAGUGUGUGUGUGUGUGUGUGUGUGUGUGUGUGUGUGUGUGUGUGUGUGUGUGUGUGUGUGUGUGUGUGUGUGUGUGUGUGUGUGUGUGUGUGUGUGUGUGUGUGUGUGUGGUUGCACGAGCAUGUGUAUGUGCACAAAUGUUUGUGUGUAAGUGUGUGUUCUUUCCGGUGUAUGUACAGUAUACACUAUAUAUAUACAAAAGUAUGUGGACAACCCUUCAAAUUAGUGGAUUCGGCUAUUUCAGGCACACCCGUUGCUGACAGGUGUAUAAAAUGGAGCACACAGCCAUGCGAUCUCCAUAGACAAACACUGGCAGUAGAAUGGCCUUACUGAAGAGCUCAGUGACUUUCAACGUGGCACCGUCAUUGGAUGCCACCUUUACAACAUGUCAGUUUGUAACAUUUUUGCCCAACUAGAGCUGCCCUGGUCAACUGUAAGUCCUGUUAUUGUGAAGUGGAAAAGUCUAGGAGCAACAACGGCUCAGCCGUGAAGUGGUAGGCCAUACAAGCUCACAGAACAGGACCGCCAAGUGCUGAAGCACGUAGUGCGUAAACAAGUGUCUGUCCUCGGUUGCAACACUCACUACCGAGUUCCAAACUGCAUCUGGAGCAACGUCAGCACAAGAACUGUUCGUCAGGAACUUAUGAAGUGGGUUUCCAUGGCCGAGCAGCCGCACACAAGCCUAAGAUCACCAUGCGCAAUGCCAAGCGUUGGUUGGAGUGGUGUAAAGCUUGCCGCCAUUGGACUCUGGAACAGUGGAAACACGUUCUCUGGAAUGAUGAAUCACGCUUCACCAUCUGUCAGUCUGACGGAUGAAUGUGGUUUGGCGCAUUCCAGGAGAACGCUACCUGUCUCAAUGCAUAGUGCCAACUGUAAAGUUUGGUAGAGAAGGAAUAAUGGUCUGGGGCUGAUUUUCAUGGUUUGAGCUAGGCCCCUUAAUUCCAGUGAAGGGAAAUCUUAACGCUACAGCAUACAAUGACAUUCUAGACAAUUCUGUGCGUCCAACUUUGUGGCAACAGUUUGGGGAAGGCCCUUUCCUGUUUCAGCAUGACAAUGCCCCCCAUAAACAAAGCGAGGUCCAUACAGAAAUGGUUUGUCGAGAUUGGUGUGGAAGAACUUGACUGGCCUGCACAGAGCCCUGACCUAAACCCCAUCGAACACCUUUGGGAUGAAUUGGAAUGCCGACUGCAAGCCAGGUCUAAUCACCCAACAUCAGUGCCCGACCUCACUAAUGCUCUUGUGGCUGAAUGGAAGCAAGUCCCCUCAGCAAUGUUCCAAUAUCUAUUGGAAAACCUUUCUAGAAGAGCGGAGGCAGUUAUAGCAGCAAAUGGAGGACCAACUCCACAUUAAUGCCCAUGAUUUUGGAAUGAAAUGUUCAACGAGCAGGUGGUCACAUACUUUUGGUCAUGUAGUGUAUAUGUGAGUAUGUGUGUGUGGGUGUCACGUCCCAUCCUGUGUUAGUGUGUGUCGGGCCUGUGUAUGUUUGCUGUCAGCAGAAGCCUCCUGUUUUAUUUUUAGCCCCGCUGCUUCAGAGGACCCAGAGUCUGGUCAGGUUUCCUCUCCACGGCAGGCUGACGCCAGACUUCCCUGACCCCUCACCGCAUGUCUCUCCCCUCCUCACCUCCCCUGCCUGUACCCAUCCCUCAGCCUCCCCUAACCCAUUCCUUCCUCCCCUCUCCUCUAUUCCUCCCUCCAUCCUGAUAGCGUUGCUGUCUACCGUGCACCAAAGAGAUGGAGCUACCCCAAAUUCCCAAUACAGAGGGAUAUCAUAGGGGAUGGACAGUAAGCCAGAUAAGGCUUAGGAAAGGGAGCCAGAUAAGAAAUAUUACCUCCGUUAUAGAUCUUUACCACUGCGUCCACAACACGUUAUGCAUUUUGCAUGGUCAGGGCUUUCCUCUUCUUGACAGAUUCCUCUGGCCAGUUUGAUCAACCUCAGGCAAGUCCUCCCCCCAACCCCAUUGGGGGGGCGGAGGGGGGCUAGCUAACACCUUCCAGCAUCACAUCUUAGCACCCCUUCCCUCCCAGUUACAUUCCUACUAACUGUAUGGACUAAAUAAAGGUGUCAGUGUGCUUCAGUUUGGCAGUUCAGCAGGUCACACCGAACAAGUGUGCUCGCAUAAUCAAAUCAAAUCAAAUGUAUUUAUAUAGCCCUUCUUACAUCAGCUGAUAUCUCAAAGUGCUGUACAGAAACCCAGCCUGAAACCCCAAACAGCAAGCAAUGCAGGUGUAGAAGCUUCUACUCCAUUAGAAGACCUUCACUUGAUAAACGAGAAAGAAGCAGCAAUAGUACUGUUUGUCCGUUUAGGGACGCUGUAGCCAGAAUACACUUCCUGAAAAUAGUCAGAUAACUCAAGAAAUCUGUCAUUAAUUUUGAUGUUUUUGCAGAGGAGAUCUUAGCUGCUCAAUUUUAUAUCUAACUAAGAUGUUAGGUGCAGUAUUUCUCCAGCGAAAAAAUUUGAAUGAAAACUAUUUGUCUCUCGUUGAAUGACAACAAACAAUCCUUACUGUUGUCCAAUCACCGAUGAAGAGGCACAGACUUCGGGAACCGAUUUCUGCUUGUCUCGAGAAAAAGUUUAGUGUGCCCAAACAACGGAAAACACCCUUGCCGAAGACCAAAACAAACAAAAACGUCCUAAAAUGUUGUCAUGAUAUAUGCAGGAACUAUUCGGCUGGGAAGCAUGCAGACACCUUAAUAGGUUCCAGUCCUCCUUCUCUGAGAGUUGAUCUCUGAGAGUUGAUCUCUGAGAGUUUAUCUCUGAGAGGAGGCAAUGAUAGCUUCUAAUGGGGAAGGAGGGAGGGAUGGAGGUGAAUGGAGGAAAGUAGAGUGUGGGAGAGAGCUGUGGAAGUGGAGAAGGGAGGAAAGAAAAGGAAGGGAAGGAGGAGGUUGUGGACAGGGUGACUGUCCGUUAGAAGGACUGAUGUUGGAGUGAGUGAAGCUGUGGGAGGGAGGUCAUACCAUUCCAACAUUGGGAGGUGAAGAACAGGCGAGGAGGGAUGGAGGGACUGAGGGAUGGAGGGACUGAGGGAUGGAUGGACUGAGGGAUGGAGGGACUGAGGGAUGGAGGGACUGAGGGAUGGACGGACUGAGGGAUGGACGGACUGAGGGAUGGACGGACUGAGGGAUGGAGGGACUGAGGGAUGGAGGGACUGAGGGAUGGAGGGACUGAGGGAUGGAGGGACUGAGGGACGGAGGGACUGAGGGAUGGAGGGACUGAGGGAUGGAGGGACUGAGGGACGGAGGGACUGAGGGAUGGAGGGACUGAGGGAUGGAGGGACUGAGGGAUGGACGGACUGAGGGACGGACGGACUGAGGGAUGGAGGGACUGAGCGAUGGAGGGACUGAGGGACGGACGGACUGAGGGACGGACGGACUGAGGGACUGAGUCUGGGGGGUGGUUGUCUUAUGUACUGAUAUCCAAAACCGGAUGUGAAAAGUAACACGCUGUGUCAAGCAUGUGUGUGUGUGUGUGUGUGUGUGCUUGUAUGUGCCUGCACGUGUGUGCUUGUAUUCACCUAUGAACACACACACUCAUCCGAUUUGUUGAAGUUACUUUGCUAUAUUUUUAUAUGUACAUACAGACUGUUAUUGUAUACAUGUAUGUAUUUUAUUCCCCUUUUUAUUAUGAUUGAUGUUGCUAUGAUUGUUUUCUAUUAUAGUGAACAUUUACCUUGAGUCCCAGACCUGGUCAAUACUUCUAACAAUUCUUCUAGAGGUUUUGCACUGUGGAGGAGAAGCUCAUUUACCAUGUGCCACACCUUUUAUGAUGUACCUCAACUUCACUAUUUGCUCCGUGAUUCAUUUCACAAAUACACACACACACACAAACACAAAUACACACACAAACAAAUACACACCCAUACACUUCACGGCCAAUGUGUAAGGCCUAGGUGAACGUCCUCUCCUCUACAGUCCUUCCCCUGUAGAGCUCUAUCUCCCAGGUGGCCAGGUGUUGAGGGGAAGGGCUCCGUGUGUAGGUAGGUACUGUACUAUACAUGCAUUUCUGCAGAAUAACAACCAACCAACCCUCUCGGGUGCUGUAUGCAGGCUACAAGUUAACCACUAAACUUCCCCAUGUCGUAUUAGUAAGUAUUGCUUUGGUACAAUUGGCAUCUUGUAUGUUGUAAAAUCAUUUAAGGAGAAUAUAUGGACAUAUAUAUAUAUAUAUACAUAUAUAUAUAUAUAGAAAUCUAUCUAAAUGAAUAUAUUAUAUAUAUUAAAUAUACAUUUCACACUUAUUUUUUUCCGUUGCUGGUAUUACCGAUGCGUCACAGAUAUUUAUUUAAUGGUUGCGAUGAGAGAAAAGUAUUUAUUUGACGGCGGAAGUUGCGAGGAUGAUAUUUUAGGCUUUUUGGUUUGGUUUCUCUUGGAGUGGUGUGACGGCUGCAGCCCUCAUGGCUAAAGAUAACCAAUAAAAG
rnacentral:lncRNA from 1 species